GUGGGGAAUAUUGGGCAAUGGGGGAAACCCUGACCCAGCAACGCCGCGUGAAGGAAGAAGGCCUUCGGGUUGUAAACUUCUUUUAGCAGGGACGAAGGACGUGACGGUACCUGCAGAAAAAGCAACGGCUAACUACGUGCCAGCAGCCGCGGUAAUACGUAGGUUGCAAGCGUUGUCCGGAUUUACUGGGUGUAAAGGGCGUGUAGGCGGAGCUGCAAGUCAGAUGUGAAAUCCCGGGGCUCAACCCCGGAACUGCAUUUGAAACUGUAGCCCUUGAGUAUCGGAGAGGCAAGCGGAAUUCCUAGUGUAGCGGUGAAAUGCGUAGAUAUUAGGAGGAACACCAGUGGCGAAGGCGGCUUGCUGGACGACAACUGACGCUGAGGCGCGAAAGCGUGGGGAGCAAACAGGAUUAGAAACCCUUGUAGUCC
rnacentral:rRNA from 1 species